CGCCUCUUGCGAGUGUGUUGUUUCACUUCACUCAGAAAACAAACAAAAACUCAUUUGUUUAGUCAAAUUUUUUUCGAUGGUUGUCCGUUUAUUUUGCAAAUACAUAGAUAACUUGCAUAGCCAUCUAGUGGUAAAAAUCUGACUUGAAGGAGGGAUUUGAAUAGAUGACGCUUUCAAGGGAGGAGGAGUCUACCUAACCAUUGUUGAUCGAUUGUUACUUUUGUUAGGUCGAUUUCGAUCGCCAUUGUACAGUUAAUGGCGUCGCUCAUUAGAAGUAUAUGCGUGUGUGAAUUUCGAUGAGCGUUGCACACCUUGGAGGGCUCGUUGACUCGCCAGUUGAAGAUACGUGUGCACAGUGUUAGUGCUUGGGUUCCUCGAGAGGAAAUUGCAGAACAUAGCCAUACAGUAUAGUGUCAUUCAACAAUGUCCAACCAUGGAAUGAGUCACAUGUGACUGUGACAAACAAAUGAUGCUUUUGCAUUUUGAAUGUUUAAAUUUUUAUAAUUGUAUUUCAUACAAGCUUCUGGCCUGCGUCAGCCAAUAGGGUCCAGCAAUCACAUGGUCCGCUUUGACUGUGUAGUGUAACUUACAUACUUCCCAACUGAAAAUGUUUGGCUAUGUUAUACCUUCAACAGUACGAACAAUUUUGUUUUUUUAUUAUUAUGGUUUAUUUUUACAGGUGUUGGAAUAAAUUGUUGUGUGGAGGUGAAGCUUCAAUUUGGGAUGUGAUUUGUCAAUUGUUGGUUGAGAUGGCAAAAGAGCAAGGAUUGGAUCAACAUUUUAUUCCACACUCAUCUUUGGAAUUCUGGUGUGCUCAUAGUUGUAGUGGAACAUUCUCGUCUGUUCAGGUCACAAAUAACGUACGUGAAAUCUAUCAUCAACAUGAAACGUAGAGUCUAUUCUGGUUCACCAAUUUGUUCCCUGUGCGUCCGAAAUUUCCACCCUUCCAAAGAUUAUUGUCCGCGUCCGAGAAAGUUGUACGACGAUGAAACCUGAAUUGCUUGCUUAACUGACGAGCCAAUGACCAACCCAGUUGAAUCCUGGAUACUUAAUCGUACGUUGUCAACACAAUUUCAAGUUAUACAUUUGUGGAUUGCAAGGAGGUUUCACAUUGGAGAAACGCGAGCAGCAGUGUAACGAUUACACCCGGCGCAUAGUCAGACGUGAUAAGAUUGUGGUCAUGCUGGUAAACGGCGGAGUCGAUUCCGCCGUUUGUGCUGCCCUUUUCCAUAAAGCACUUCUACAGAGUGACGACUCGUCGCGAGUGCAUGACAUCCAUAUCGAUAACGGUUUCCUGCGUAAAGACGAAUCCGAGCAAGUCGUCACUAGUUUACAGCAACUCGGGCUCAAUCUUCGGAGCUUUUUUCCAGACAGUGGCUUCUCAUUUCUAUUGCCAUACCAGCGAUCAGAUUUGAUGUUUCGAAUUGUUUUGGGUUGCUAAAGCAAGAUUGAUUUUCUACGAUGCUCCCACCAACGUGCAUGGUCGCCAAACUUUGUCGUUGUGUCGGACUGUAAACCCAGAAGAAAAACGUCGAAUUAUUGGCGAUAUGUUUGUCAAAGAGAUAGAUAGAACGGCUAACGAUUUAAAUGUCACUUGGGAUAAUCUACUUAUUUACGUUUUGCUCAAUCGGAUUGAAAUCGCGACGUCGGAAGAAGAGCGUCAUGUUCUAGAGGAACGGUCCAGACGCAACCAGUAUGUUGCCACGCUACUGCCUAUUCGCAUUGUUGGUGUUAAGGGAGAUUGCCGAACUUAUAGCUAUUGUGCGUAGAACUGAGCUCUGAUCAGACACACCAAACUGGAAUGGUCUAACCACCUACGCCCGCUAAUACAGCGUGUGUGCCAUAAUGUCAAUCGUGUUUGCUACUUAUUCGGAAAUGCUGUGCGUGAAUGGGUGACAGACGCUACACCUACCUACUUAACGACUAACAUUUUGGCGAUCAUGCCGUCUUAGCUGUUCCAGGAAUUUUCAGGGUCUUGUAUGAUCUGACGGCGAAACCAACCUCGACAACGGAGUGGGAAUGAUUUGAUUUACGAACGUUGCUCAGGUAAAUGAUCUCCACCACUAUUUACAGAACACGGAUGCGGAAUUGUAUCACUGACCAGAUUUAGAUGGGUUAUAUUAUAAAAGUGGAUUCAGUAUAGACUUCUAAAAUUGAAAAAUUAAUCAGCUUUGUCGUCUCGUGAAACUCUCUUAAAUUCGGUUCUUAGGAAAAAUUCACCUGAUGACUUGUUGAGUAUUCCUUAAUAUACAUGCACCUUUGUCGGAAAUAAUGGGUGCAUUUGGUUUUCGUCGAACAAAUUAAACAUUCUUAAUAUGCAGCUAGUUGGGUUGUUGUUGCUCUCCGAAGACUAUUUGAGGCGUUAUACCAUUUCUUGAAAUGGAAUAUUCAGAAAAUAUGGUAUAUGUUCGCAAAUUGUUAAGAUAUAUUAAGGGUGGUACCAUAAAGUAUGACUGCAGGAAAGGGUUCGUAGGCUUCUAAAAGUUAAUAACAGCUAUGACGUCUUUUUGGUAAGCGGAAAAGGUACUGUUUAUUGAAGCGUCAGAUGACGGUUUUAAGAUUGGACUCUUUCCUUUGCUUUGCCAGUGCUUGGAACUGGCAGUUGGCGUUUAGCAAUGGCACCAAAUCUUUAUUCUUAAAACCCAGAGGUGUUCUUGACUUUUCAGGGGAUUGAUUGCAGAUACUUUUUGAAUAAUCCAUGAAGAAUACCAAUAUAUGGAUAAGUGGAGGGUAAUAAAAGUAUAAAACUGUAAUUCCUCGUGGCAUUUUCAUUCACGCAUACUGGGCAGCUCGGGAGCAGACGAACCAUUGAAAGGGCCUUGCGUAGUCUAGCUGCAUCCAGCCAGAUACUAGUAGAACCCAAAACAUUGUUUUGACAAGUACUGUCAUAUUUUGGUUGCAGGUUUUCACUAAAUACCAAGGUGUGGUAGCUAUUAUUCUGUGUUUUUCUUGCUUUCAACACUACAGGCUGAUCCUACGAGCUACGACAGUUUUACCUACAAAUGUUUAGCCGUUUCGUGCUGCAACUAUUAGUCUAUUUUCUAGGAUGUAAUGCCUAAAAUUGGAAUUCAGCUAUCAGAGAUUAGCAAAAUUCAAGCGGAAACUCUAGAUGGCGUUUUUGUGCGUUUAUGACGAAGAUAAUGAGUGACAAGUUAAUUGGGUGUUUGUUACGUUACGCUGUUAUGUGUUUCAAAAGUUUUUCGUCAAAAAAUUUACGAUUGCUUUUUGUCUGUGUUGGUGUUUCGCCUUGUCAGCUAUGCCAGCUGCUGAACCAGCAGCCUGCAUUCCUGCUAUCAAUGUACCACAAGAGAUCCUGACACUUUGAGUAGGCCACUAUUGCUUACAUAAAGAUCACCAUCCAGAUCAAGUACUGCUAAUCUACCUCAAGCCUUUUGUUUAAGCUUAGUGAUGUGUUCUCUCGUCAGUCAACGACAGAGUCUUCAUCUAAUUUGUGUUGCUAACCAUCCACCCUCAGCAUCCCAGGUAUCCAGAUUUCCAAGUUUCUCUGAUUAGCCAACCAUCAUCCAAACCCUUCAGCUCUUCAAUGUGGCUUCUCUUCCUCUCUUCUUAAUCUGCUGAAUGCCAACAUUGAAUCAGAUUCAUCAUCAUUGCCUGUCCAUGACGGAAAUCUUUAUUGUUAACACAGCUCACAUGUAGAGGCUUUAACAACAUCUCCAUUUUUUGGACUGCAAAAAUUCAUCUUCCUUCGGUACGACACUGCCGUUUUGACAAUUUCGGUAUUUUCGUCCCCAGUGGACCACACGCAACUACAUUUUCUUCGUCUUCCUAUCGUUGUUGUCUACGACUUCACCUCAUCGCUGUCUUCGUUGACGUCUUCGCCUUCAUUUCCGUCUCGUCGUCUUGGCCGUCUUCGCCUUCAUCUCCGUCUCGUCGUCUUGGCCGUCUUCGCCUUCAUCUUCAUCUCGUCGUCUUGGCCGUCUUCGCCUUCAUCUCCGUCUCGUCGUCUUCGCCUUUGUUUCAUCGCCGUCUUUUUCUUCGC